rnacentral:lncRNA from 1 species
UCUUAUAUAUAUAAAGGAGUCCGGCUACUAUACUUUUAUGAGUAUUGGCUUCCUUAUACUCGUAAGUUUUCGGCCCUUAGAUUUAUUUCAUGAUCAUUUCCACCCGUUAGACCAUACUAUUUAACCAACUACCCACUCAAUCCUAGGGAACCACUAUCAUUCUAAGUAGGGACCGUCAUCAUCUUAACCACACAUCCCAUCAAUGAACGGUUAAAAAAUUUAUAAGUAUUUGAGGUUUUAUACUCAUAAGAGUAUAGUAGCCACAGCCUAUAUAAAGCUAGGCUAUUAAUUAUACUUUUUAAAAUAAGAAAGCAUCCAUACUUUUAUGUUAUUUUUUAUGUGGGAUAUUCGAAUUAGCGAUCAGCACCGUUAGACAUGUUUACGAUGUUGGAACUAUUUAGAAACCAAAUUUUAUUUAUUUUUAACUUUAUUUGUCUAGUGAAAAGUCUUGCUAGGGUGCUUCUAAUAGUACCAAGUAUUUGUUGCUAACAAAAUUUUCACUGUUAAUUUUACCUCUUUAACUAUUUCAAUCCGAUAGAUUAUACUAUAUUCAACAAACUACCCACUUAAUUUUAGGAGAUCACUAUCAUCCUAACCGCACAUUCUUUCAUCCAAGGACUCAAAAUUUAAUAGCACGAAUGACUUAGUGGUAUUAGAAGCAUUCCAACCUAAUUAUAUAUAUUCAAGGGCUGAAAAAAAUUAAAAGCACCA